rnacentral:rRNA from 1 species
GCGCACCAGUCGCGAAUCUUCGGCAAUGGGGGAAACCCUGACCGAGCGACGCCGCGUGUGGGAUGAAGGCCCUUGGGUUGUAAACCACUGUCAGAGGGGAUGAAAUGCCGGAAAGUUAUCUCUCCGGUUUGACAUAGCCUCAGAGGAAGCACGGGCUAAGUUCGUGCCAGCAGCCGCGGUAAGACGAACUGUGCAAACGUUAUUCGGAAUCACUGGGCUUGAAGAGUGCGUAGGCGGUUUCGUAAGUAGGGUGUGAAAGCCCCCGGCUCAACCGGGGAAUUGCGUCCUAAACUGCGAGGCUGGAGUGAGGUAGGGGUGUGUGGAACUUCCAGUGGAGCGGUGAAAUGUGUUGAUAUUGGAAGGAACGCCGGUGGCGAAAGCGACACACUGGACCUUGUCUGACGCUGAGGCACGAAAGCCA